rnacentral:rRNA from 1 species
GCUGAACUUAAGCAUAUCAAUAGCG